UACAGAGGUCUCAAGCGUUGUUCGGAUUCAUUGGGCGUAAAGGGUGCGUAGGCGGCGCGGUAAGUCGGGUGUGAAAUCUCGGAGCUUAACUCCGAAACUGCAUUCGAUACUGCCGUGCUUGAGGACUGGAGAGGAGACUGGAAUUUACGGUGUAGCGGUGGAAAUGCGUAGAUAUCGAGAGGAACACCUGCGGCGAAGGCGGGUUGCUGGGCUGACACGUGACGCUGAUGCGCGAAAGCCAGGGAGCGAACGGGAUUGAGACGUACCCCGAG
rnacentral:rRNA from 1 species